UACGUAGGGGGCUAGCGUUGUCCGGAUUUAUUGGGCGUAAAGAGCGUGUAGGCGGCCAGGUAGGUCUGGUGUGAAAACUGGAGGCUUAACCUCCAGACGUCGAUGGAAACCGUAUGGCUAGAGUCCGGAAGAGGAGAGUGGAAUUCCUGGUGUAGCGGUGAAAUGCGCAGAUAUCGGGAGGAACACCUAUUGCGAAGGCAGCUCGCUGGGACGUUACUGACGCUGAGACGCGAAAGCGUGGGGAGCAAACAGG
rnacentral:rRNA from 1 species